UACGGAGGUGCGAGCGUUGUCCGGAAUCACUGGGCGUAAAGGGCGCGUAGGCGGCCUGAUAAGUAGGGGGUGAAAUCCUGCGGCUUAACCGCAGGGCUGCCUUCUAGACUGUCAGGCUAGAGCACAGUAGAGGCAGGUGGAAUUCCCGGUGUAGCGGUGGAAUGCGUAGAGAUCGGGAAGAACAUCAGUGGCGAAGGCGGCCUGCUGGGCUGUGCUGACGCUGAGGCGCGACAGCGGUGGGGGAGCAAACAG
rnacentral:rRNA from 1 species